rnacentral:rRNA from 1 species
UACAGAGGUCUCAACCGUUGUUCGGAUUCAUUGGGCGUAAAGGGUGCGUAGGCGGUCGUGCAAGUCGGAUGUGAAAUCUCAGGGCUCAACCCUGAAACUGCAUUCGAUACUGCGCGGCUAGAGUGCUGGAGGGGAGACUGGAAUUACGGUGUAGCAGUGAAAUGCGUAGAUAUCGUAAGGAAGACCAGUGGCGAAGGCGAGUCUCUGGACAGCAACUGACGCUGAGGCACGAAGGCCAGGGGAGCAAACGGG